UCCCCACCUCCGUGGAGAGCAGCUGACUGUGCAGUUGACAUGAUACCUCUCCCAGAUGCUCUUCCAUCCUUCUAGAGCCCGGUAUUCCCCGUCUCCUAGCUCUGUGCUUGCCUCACUAGCUGGCACGGGCUUCUGCACAACCCGGCCUGGGGAAGCGUUCAACAUGGUGGCAGGAGACACACCAAGGAGAAGGAGGUGGUCCCAAAGGAUACCAAACAAGGAAUUGAGAAGCAGCCUCCCUGAAAACCUUUGCCCCAGCAUCCUCUGUGAGUGAGGAUAAAACGGG
rnacentral:lncRNA from 12 species